rnacentral:rRNA from 1 species
GGGCAAGAUUGAACGCAAAGGCAAGCGGGACAUUUGAGGAUGGGGUGACUGCGUACCUUUUGUAUAAUGGGUCAGCGACUUAUAUUCUGUAGCAAGGUUAACCGUAUAGGGGAGCCGUAGGGAAACCGAGUCUUAACUGGGCGAAUGAGUUGCAGGGUAUAGACCCGAAACCCGGUGAUCUAUCCAUGGGCAGGUUGAAGGUUGGGUAACACUAACUGGAGGACCGAACCGACUAAUGUUGAAAAAUUAGCGGAUGACUUGUGGAUGGGGGUGAAAGGCCAAUCAAACCGGGAGAUAGCUGGUUCUCCCCGAAAGCUAUUUAGGUAGCGCCUCGUGAACUCAUCUUCGGGGGUAGAGCACUGUUUCGACUAGGGGGUCAUCCCGACUUACCAACUCGAUGCAAACUGCGAAUACCGAAGAAUGUUAUCACGGGAGACACACGGCGGGUGCUAACGUCCGUCGUGAAGAGGGAAACAACCCAGACCGCCAGCUAAGGUCCCAAAGUCAUGGUUAAGUGGGAAACGAAGUGGGAAGGCUCAGACAGCCAGGAUGUUGGCUUAGAAGCAGCCAUCAUUUAAAGAAAGCGUAAUAGCUCACUGGUCGAGUCGGCCCGCGCGGAAGAUGUAACGGGGCUAAACCAUGCACCGAAGCUGCGGCAGCGACACAAUGUGUUGUUGGGUAGGGGAGCGUUCUGUAAGCCUGCGAAGGUGUACUGUGAGGUAUGCUGGAGGUAUCAGAAGUGCGAAUGCUGACAUAAGUAACGAUAAUGCGGGUGAAAAACCCGCACGCCGGAAGACCAAGGGUUCCUGUCCAACGUUAAUCGGGGCAGGGUGAGUCGACCCCUAAGGCGAGGCUGAAAAGCGUAGUCGAUGGGAAACGGGUUAAUAUUCCCGUACUGGUGGUAACUGCGAUGGGGGAACGGAGAAGGCUAGGUUGUCCGGGCGACGGUCGUCCCGGUUCAAGCAGGUAGGCAGAGUGAUUAGGCAAAUCCGGUCACUUAAUGCUGAGAUGUGAUGACGAACCACCAAGGUGGUGAAGCAAUUGAUGCCCCGCUUCCAGGAAAAGCCUCUAAGCUUCAGGUUACCAACAAUCGUACCCCAAACCGACACAGGUGGUCAGGUAGAGAAUACUCAGGCGCUUGAGAGAACUCGGGUGAAGGAACUAGGCAAAAUGGUGCCGUAACUUCGGGAGAAGGCACGCUGGCGGUAGGUAAAGUCCCUUGCGGACGGCGCUGAAGCCAGUCGAAGAUACCAGCUGGCUGCAACUGUUUAUUAAAAACACAGCACUGUGCAAACACGAAAGUGGACGUAUACGGUGUGACGCCUGCCCGGUGCUGGAAGGUUAAUUGAUGGGGUCAGCCGUAAGGCGAAGCUCCUGAUCGAAGCCCC